UGCGCCAAGGAAAACCGAACGAAGCGUCCGCCCCCGGCAUCCCGUUCGCGGAGCGUGCCRCGGGAUUGGGCGUCUAUCAAAUGUCAAAACGACUCUCGGCAACGGAUAUCUCGGCUCUCGCAUCGAUGAAGAACGUAGCGAAAUGCGAUACUUGGUGUGAAUUGCAGAAUCCCGUGAACCAUCGAGUCUUUGAACGCAAGUUGCGCCCGAAGCCAUUAGGCCGAGGGCACGUCUGCCUGGGCGUCACGC
rnacentral:rRNA from 1 species